rnacentral:rRNA from 1 species
AUGCAAGUCGAACGGUAACAGGAAGCAGCUUGCUGCUUUGCUGACGAGUGGCGGACGGGUGAGUAAUGUCUGGGAAACUGCCUGAUGGAGGGGGAUAACUACUGGAAACGGUGGCUAAUACCGCAUAAUGUCGCAAGACCAAAGAGGGGGACCUUCGGGCCUCUUGCCAUCAGAUGUGCCCAGAUGGGAUUAGCUUGUUGGUGAGGUAACGGCUCACCAAGGCGACGAUCCCUAGCUGGUCUGAGAGGAUGACCAGCCACACUGGAACUGAGACACGGUCCAGACUCCUACGGGAGGCAGCAGUGGGGAAUAUUGCACAAUGGGCGCAAGCCUGAUGCAGCCAUGCCGCGUGUAUGAAGAAGGCCUUCGGGUUGUAAAGUACUUUCAGCGGGGAGGAAGGUGUUGCGGUUAAUAACCGCAGCAAUUGACGUUACCCGCAGAAGAAGCACCGGCUAACUCCGUGCCAGCAGCCGCGGUAAUACGGAGGGUGCAAGCGUUAAUCGGAAUUACUGGGCGUAAAGCGCACGCAGGCGGUCUGUCAAGUCGGAUGUGAAAUCCCCGGGCUCAACCUGGGAACUGCAUUCGAAACUGGCAGGCUUGAGUCUUGUAGAGGGGGGUAGAAUUCCAGGUGUAGCGGUGAAAUGCGUAGAGAUCUGGAGGAAUACCGGUGGCGAAGGCGGCCCCCUGGACAAAGACUGACGCUCAGGUGCGAAAGCGUGGGGAGCAAACAGGAUUAGAUACCCUGGUAGUCCACGCCGUAAACGAUGUCUACUUGGAGGUUGUGCCCUUGAGGCGUGGCUUCCGGAGCUAACGCGUUAAGUAGACCGCCUGGGGAGUACGGCCGCAAGGUUAAAACUCAAAUGAAUUGACGGGGGCCCGCACAAGCGGUGGAGCAUGUGGUUUAAUUCGAUGCAACGCGAAGAACCUUACCUGGUCUUGACAUCCACAGAACUUUCCAGAGAUGGAUUGGUGCCUUCGGGAACUGUGAGACAGGUGCUGCAUGGCUGUCGUCAGCUCGUGUUGUGAAAUGUUGGGUUAAGUCCCGCAACGAGCGCAACCCUUAUCCUUUGUUGCCAGCGGUCCGGCCGGGAACUCAAAGGAGACUGCCAGUGAUAAACUGGAGGAAGGUGGGGAUGACGUCAAGUCAUCAUGGCCCUUACGACCAGGGCUACACACGUGCUACAAUGGCGCAUACAAAGAGAAGCGACCUCGCGAGAGCAAGCGGACCUCAUAAAGUGCGUCGUAGUCCGGAUUGGAGUCUGCAACUCGACUCCAUGAAGUCGGAAUCGCUAGUAAUCGUGGAUCAGAAUGCCACGGUGAAUACGUUCCCGGGCCUUGUACACACCGCCCGUCACACCAUGGGAGUGGGUUGCAAAAGAA